GUAUGAGGGUGUUGGAAGCCCUGGAACUGGAGUUACAGACAGCUGUGAGAUGCCUCGUGGUUGCUAGGAAUUGAAUCCAGCUCCCCUGAACCACCAGCUCACACCCGACUCACACCUCCCAGUUCCCCUUUCCAGCCCUCACCUUCUUACAGAAACAGACCCACACUCGUGUACCCUGGAGCUCACCCCAGCAUGGACUGGGCAUGAUCUCAAGGAAGGACAAGCUCACAGUAGUCCCUCACUCAGACAGUACUGACUCAGUGCCCUCGAAUCAGAGAAGCAGACGGCUUCUCCCUCCUCCUUUCAGCCAACAAAACACCGCCACGAGAGGUGGUAGGUUCCGAGCCAGUGGGGUUCAGGGACACAAAGAAGCACCACAGCUGCUGCUUAGCACCCUCCAAACCACACCCCAACUGCACACCACACCACCACCGCAGCAGCCCACCAUGCCAUACUUCCCCUACUGGGCCCUGUUGGGCUAUAGAAAAAAAUGUCCUACAAAGAAACAAUAUAAGUAUUUUCUAUUGCUUCCCAGGACCGGAGCAAAGCCCUUACCUCGGAAGAGUGUCACCCUCAGAACACCCUCCUCCCCCAAAAAAUACACAAACCACUUGGCAUGGUUAAAAGCUGACAGGGCAUGGGAAGGGAUAUUCCACAAGGGUUGACACAGUUUUCAGGCUCACAACAGGAUACCUUUAAAAGAAGCCCACCUUCUACCAUGAGAAACGAAAGACAGAAAUAGACUCCACAGCAGCAAGGGAAGGGACUGGCAGGCGUGGGGGUUUUUUUUCUCUUCUUUUUUUAAAGAUUUGUUCUGAUCUAUGUUCUCCCACUAAUAGUUUAAGCAAACCCACAUUGUUCCCAAGGAGAUAUUCCUUACUAAAAGCUGGUUGCCACAGCUCUGCUCAGCACUACUCUGGAAUUCUAUUCUCCAAACUGGGAUGCCUCCUUUCACAGCAAGGGUCAGGCCAUCCUGGGAAAUCAGCAAGAGGACAAGUGUAGGUGUACCUCACACUGUGACCCACAGACUUAGGACUCUCUUCCUUAUGGUCCACCAAGUGAUCUCCUCAAACCCAAGGACCAGAGAGGGAUAAGGAUGCACCUAGGUCACACAGUAAGCCAGAGGCCAAGGAUACCAGCCCUGGCUUUCAAUGCUGAUUUUAUACAUUCACCUGCAUAACGUUUUUUGCUGGCUAUCCAUCACUCUUGGCAAGCAGACAGCCCCAGGAGGGUCUGCUUCAGACUGCCCUAUUCACUGGUGAUAUCUGCACAGUCUGGAAGGAAUAAGUACCUGCUAGGUGGGUGGAUGAGUGGGUCCAAGCCUGGACCAAUAGAUGUUGAAAGAAUAGGCUCUCAUUUCAGGAUGGGGGUGUACUUCUGUGAGCCACGCCCCUCUGCUAGAUGCUGGAGUAUCUCCCCUCCUCUCAGUGUGUCCCCAGCUGGUGGUCAGGUGGAUAUUCCGCAAGCUCACAGAGGUCCAAGAUCAGGCCGGGGACAGAGCUCUAGGAGCCCAGGCAGGGAAGUUCAAGUCCACUUUGAUUCUUGUGAUCUUUGGCUUCCUGGAUGUUAAGCACCACCUGGGGUCAAGGAAUGGUUCUUGGACCAGAAAGCUUCAAGCUAUACGGAGGAGUGGGGAGAAGAUGGAGAACAAAGGACUGGGUUCAGCUGAGAACCCCAGCCUACAAGGAGAGGUGAGCCAGAUCUGGUAAUGAUUCUAGCAUCAAACUCUUCUUUUGAGUUAGUCACAGAGUUCACAGAGCGCUAACGGAGCCACUGGAAGCCGCUUGAGCAGGAGAUCGGCUCAGCAUUCCCUCCUAGAUGGUACAGAGAGGUGCCCAGAGACAUGGCGGGUGGUCAGGAGGCUGGAUACCAGGUGCCAGCUGGUGAUAGAAUGAAGGUCCUUGAAAUCAUGACCAGCCUUCCAUUGGGGCUGAUCGGCCCUGGAGCAGGGGCAGAGUCCUCAGAACGGCCCUUUUCCAGCGCCCUUCACCCACUAGGCAUGACUGCACAGAUCCACAGGCUAGCCACACUUCUCUACCCCCUGCCAAGCAUCUAGCAACCUCAGCCUUCGGGCUUUCCAUAGGAAGGGGGUUGGUUGAUGGAACAUGGCAACUAGUAACAUUCCACUUCUACCCUGUUACGAGCACCAUGGAAACAGGACACUCAGAAUGUCCCAGCUAGGAGACCUAGCCUCAAAGCUCCAUCUACUAAAUGGAGAUACCAAGGCUGGGGUGGAAGGGUGGGGGAUGGAGAUGGGACAAGGUGAACAGACUAACCAACCAGUCCAGGAGACGGGUAGGCUCAGUUAGCAGAUGUCUCCUGUCCACUGGAUGCCCAACAAGUGUGGGCAGAAUGUCCUUCUCGCCCACCCUUCCCCCAUGCAUCUUAGUCCUGGGCUGACCAGAACAGUUCAUCAGUACCAGGCUCCAGGUUCUUCCCCAAGCUCUCUGGGAGUUGGGUCCUGGAUUGUGAUUCUCUCUCAAGCAGCCUGCCCUUGGGGAGGGGGAGGGUGGCGCUUCCUUCCCGCCCUGUUCCCAUUAACUGAGACUAAAUAACAUCAGGGAAACACUGAGGUGAGGGUCUGGGGUGUGGCUCAGUGGCACAGAACCUGCCUAACUGUAGAAAUCCUGGGUUCCAGCCCCAGAAAAGUCGGUUGCACAAAAUCUUGCCAGUGUCCUUAACCUACCUCCCAGAAGGGGAGUUUUACAUAAUCAGAAUGGUGGGCACAGCAGAGGCAGGGAAACUGAAUAAUAGGUAAUUUGAAGGCUGGAUCUCUUCCAAGGAGAAACACCUCACCAGAGCUCCCAGUCCCUGAGGUGGGUGGGUGGGGCUGGUUAGCUGAGUGAUCCCAAAGUCCACAGUCCCUGAACUCCACAGUCAAUGGACCACUCUUCCGCACACCUGCGACCUGUUCCCAAGUGCCUGCCCUCAGCAUAAAAGGCCUGGGAUUGUACAUUAACCUCCAGAUACUCAUCUUCCCCCACUCCCUAUGUUGGUCUCCCUCUCCCGAGGGACUGCAAGCCGCCCAGCACCAGACACUGGUUUAUUCAUUGCUGCCCUUCCGACCCCUGGGAUGGUGCCUGACAUACAGUAGGUGCUCAGUAAGCAUCUGCGGUGCAACCGGUGGUACACACCUGCAGUUUCAGCCACCUGGGAAGCUGAGGCAGGAGAAUUGAAUGGGUGAGAUCCUGUAUUUAAAAAGACACGUGUUCCUCCUGUCAGUGGUAAGGGCUCAGGCGGCUGUUCACCUUCAGGGCAAGUUGGAAGUCACUGAGUGAGGCGACACCCUCACUGAGCUGUAGUCUGGGUGGUCAGCUAGGACAGAAGAGGCCAGCGGGUCACAAGCCAAGGAUGUGCACAGUGGACCGGCGUGGGCUUGUAUGUUCUGCAGUGUGUUCUGCAGGGCAUUCUGCAGGGUGGCAGGUCAUAAUGGGCCAUUGUUUGUACAGACCAAGUGGCAGAACCUGGAACAGUACGGUGCUGUUUUUGUUAAAAACAAAACCAAACCACAGCUGGCUGGCUGGCUGGCUGGCUGGCUGGCUGGCUGACUGACCUGCUGAGCAAAUCCUUACACCCACAAGGAAAUGAAAACGGACCCAGAAAGUGAUAAAAGCAGACUGCGUUCCGACAGACACUCCAGGGACCACACAGCUAAAGUUGCAUGUGAGAGCAAUAGAUCGCCUUAAGGUCUUUAUUUAGUCAUUUUUAGCGUUGGGGAUAGAACCCAGGGCCUCACACUUGGCAAGUACACACUCGGUAGCUUAUACCCUCAACCUAGCCUUAUAUAUGGAUAUUUUGUAAUGAUCUAAAGGGGAUACAUUUUAGCUUAUAACAGUUCUGUAUCACUUGAGGUAUACAGUUCUUGUAACUAAACAUGAAUCAUUUGGUAGUUUGUCAAAUGAAAUGGUAUGUCCAUUCAAAAAUCUAGCGCACAAGGUCCGCAGGAGAUUCUCUCACAAUCCUACACCUACAGACGAAGCAUCUGCAGGACAGAUGGACAAGCUGUUUUAUGGUUAUGCCUCUUGCCCAGAGGGCACUCUAUAGUAUUCGAACACAGAAAGCAAUGACCUCCAGUUUACACUGCUUUCUAUCCCCCUCACACAUAAUCAAGAUAAAGUUUAAUUUAUAAAUUAGUCAUUCUGAGAGCAACGGCUCAUAAUAAAACAGAACUAUAACCCUAUGCUGUCAUAAAAUGUAUCCAGCAACACAUGAAACUGCUCAUUUCUGGAAUUUUCCAUUUAACAGUCAGUGCUACGGUUAGCCAUACAUAAUGCACACAUACAUACAGUACCAGGAUUACAAGGGUGAUUCACCAUGCCUGGCACAAAUCCACUGAUAUGAGGAGGUGACUUGGCAAAAUUCAUUCACAGUGACAGACAUCUCAAAGUGACUCUCUUAAGGGGCGGAGAGGGCUGGGGAUGUGGUUCAGUGGCAUAGUGUCUGACAAGCAAGGGUGAAGUCCUUAUCCCCUCCUCAAGCAGAAAAGCAAGGCGUGGAGGAGCUAAAGAGAAACCAUUGCAGAAAAGACAGCCGCUGUGUGAGCAGGAGAACGAAUGUGCUCAGUGACUCAUGGCACCUUAUCACUGAGACCUUUGGAAACUUUUGGAGAAUUAAACCUCUCACAAGUCAAGGGAGGGGGCUUUGGGAGAACCCAGCCCCAGGCUUUCGGUGCACAGGAUCAGUCAGGCGUAUGAACUCAGUAUGUGAGAGGCCAUGGACUGUCAGAGCAGUCACAAGUCUCAAGCAGGGCAGCCUGCGCUGAAUCCAGCCCCAGAUACUCCGCUGCUUUGCCUGUGCUGGGCUCCAUCCACCGUGAUUUGGGUUCAUUGCCAGGAAUCAAAAUAGAGCAUGCCCACUAGCCUGCUGCAGCCUGGGACUCAGCCAAAGCUGGAGCCCCAAGCAGGAAGCACCCAGGAGGCUGGUUCCCUAGCAGUGCCCGGCAUGUGGCUAGCGCAGAGGAUCAUGGGAAACCAUUGCCGGAUGUGGUCUUGGGGAGGUAUUGCCACGAGGAAUCCUGCCCCCUUGUACAAGGAUGAAUGGCUGCACAAUUCAUGGCAGCUAAAAAUGGAAACAGCCUGGUUGUAUCAACAGGAAAAUAGAAGCUGAGUGAUUGCAGCUCUAGCAAAAGGACUCCUGGGAUGCGCAGAACCACGAGGGAGCUCUGAAUGCACCGGAGGCGAGAAGAGAUGCAAUGGCUGAUGUGGCUUCUGGUGCUCCAAGUCUCAGUCUCCCUACAUAGUCUGUCACCUGAUCUACACCCCGAGUUUGGAAUGACUUGUAGUCAGCCACUGGAAGAGCCCUCUGAGUGCCAGGCACCGAGCAUCACUGCCCAGAAUCUGUGAGGUAGCCCAGCAUGUUGAUGUGUAUGCCUUUGUCCAUUUCACAGGUGAGAAAAAUGGGACUCAGAGAGGUUAAAAGCCUGAGAGGAAUCAGCCAGCUUCUAAGAAACAGAAAAUCACAAGCUGGUCCCCAGAUGAUAUGGUUCCUGCCACCCUUUAUACUGAAUUAUAUGAAAACUGAAGAAAAAAAGACCCCUGGGAGACAUCUCAUCCCUGGGAGAUGGUCAGGAUGGGACCUGGCUUGACCAGGAGGUUGUCCAGGGUCAGAGAACGCCCUCAGUUCUGGAGACGUGGCUCAUCAGGUAAGAGUGCACGUCACUGUUGUAGAACGCCAGAGUGUGGGGGACCCAUACUGAGGGACACACAGUUGCCGGUGACUCCAGCUCCAGGGGAUCUGACACCCUCCUCCCCAGCCCUCUGUGCACUUGGGCACAUGCUCACUCGAAUGUCUAUAUACCCUCACAGACACAUAAAAAAUGAAAACAAAUUUAGAAACCCCAACCACCCCCAAUCCCACAUGAGGACACAGCAUGUAGACCACAGUGGGCAUGUAGAAUACUUCUUCAACUGGGCAUGAUGGUCUGUAAUCCCAGCACCUAGAGCAAGAAGACUGUCAUGAGUGAGUUCUAAGCCAGCCUGAGGUAAAGUGUGAAGCCCUGUCCUACUAAAAGACCCUCCCCACACGCAUACCGUUUUUUCUUUAAAAAAAAAAAAAAGGUACUUUUUCCCCUGGACAAUGAAUUGGAACAGCCUGAGACAGACUCUAAGCUUCUGUAUCCUUGUUUGUAACGUGGGAUUAGUCAUUCCUACCCAGAACAUCUGAGAGUUAAAAUUCAUGGAGGGGCUGAGAUGUGGCUGGUUAGCAGAAUGCUUACCUAGCGUGCACAAAGCCCUGGGUCCAUCCCCAGCACCACUGAAACCCAAUGUGGUGAUGCAUGCUUAGGACAUUUGCACUGGAGAGGCAAAGGUGGAUGAGGAAUUCAAGAAAAAAAAAGUGAAGAGUGUCUAAUGAACCUUUAGACUAUGAAAAUACGGGGUGCUUCAAAGUAGGGAAUGAGAGAAGGGAUCACCACACCUGUGUCAUGGAUGAAGACUGCCUGUUCAUUUUUUAACUAUGAUUUUCAGGUCCUUUGCUCACCAAAGGAAGCCCAAUUCACUCAAAUGUUUUGAGAACUGUUUAAAUAAAUGCAAGAAAAAUUACUGAUAAAAAAAAAAGAGCAUCCUGGGCUAUAUAAUGAGUUUGAGGUCAGCCUGGGCUACAUGAGACUCAGUCAGUUAAUCAAUCAAUCAAUCAAUCAAUCAAUCAAAGAAUGAAAAGAUCCAGGGCCACUCUGUUAGCAGGCCAGGCUCUCACCACAGGCAGGAAGCCAGCCAGAACCCUGGGCUACCUGUCUCUCUCUCUUUACUGGUGGGAUGGUCUUUGUAGGUAUGCCUUGAUCCCACAUUUGGCUUCAGGAAGAGAGACUAUCUUCCUUCCAUUAUCUGGGUAAGGUUUAACCCAAAUCCAAGUCAUGAGAGGCCUCCAAAGACCUCCUUGCAGCUUAGACUCAAGGCUACCAGCUUUUGCCCACAUUAUCAAGGCUCCACAAUUCAGUCGUCAGCUCAUGCCCCAAACAUAUGAUCAUGUCACCCAGCACAGGAAGAAACCCCUCCUCCAGCUACCUCCACCCUUCUCCCUCCCCAUCUCUGGGGAGCAACAGUUGUUUCUCUCAGAGUUUCCACAAGCUUCUCCACCCCUCAGACCAAUAACCCUCUGUGCCUGGCACAGGCCCUGCCCUUCUUGCCAGGGGCAGCUGCUACUGGGGGAGCUGCCUACCCACGCACUCUCUGGCACCAGGCACUGGUUUAGCAUAAACAGGAGUCCACAGACAGAGCCGACCUAGAGCUCCCUCGGAAAGUGUCCCAGCUGGGACAGUAGCAGAGCCAAGCAGAGGCACAUGUGGGUGCCCUGGGUGCUAGGGUUGGCUUCUUCUAACCUUGGCUGGUUGAUCUAAUCAGAACCACCCUCACAGGGAGGCCAAACGGCACCACCCCAGAUGGAGAGGUUGCAGGUGUGCUCAGGAGCUUGGGUGCAGCUCCAGCACAGAGUGUGAUUUUGGGUUUGGUGCCCAAAAUACAACUCAGGGCAGAACACAGAGGUCAUAGGGGCAUUCGGGAGUGUGUGUAGCACAGGGAGGGUGUGUUGUCCUAGGUCCGUCCCCUAGUUUAGGACUGAGAACAGCCCCUCUGUACGUUGCUCUUGGUGCCCCUGUGUGAUACUGAGCAUGGGGACUGAGCUGAGCCAAUAUUCUAACCUGCCCCUGCUUUGGGGGUGAUAGGGGGAUGGUGAGGAAGGUGGUACUCCCUAGAGGGAUUCCGGUAAAAGUUCAGGGUCAGGAUGGGAAGUGUAUCAUAAGCUGGAAGGUCAUGACAGCAGGGGACAGUGACAGGGGACACUGAGAGCAGGAGCGGUUGGGUUGGUUGAGUGUGUGUGUGAGAGUCAGUCCUGGUAAAUGCCAGUGGGCUGCAUUUAGGAAAGAAGGAAAGAAGCAGGAGAGACAGGGCUGAAGUCACCCCCCACCCCUUUUUAAUUAAAAUUAAAAAUUUGAAACAGUGUUUCUAAGUUGCUAAGGCUGACCUUGAACUUACUCAGUAGUUCAAGCAGAUCUUGAAUUUGGAGUAUUCCUGUUUCAGCCCUAGUAGCCAGGAUUCUAGGUGUGUACCACCAGGUAUGGCUUGCCCCCAUUUUUAUAGUA
rnacentral:sRNA from 1 species